UCCCCGUUACCGGGGCAGUCUGAAUAGAAAAAUCCAACUAUCCAUAAGGGUUGCGCUCGUUGAAGGACUUAACCUAACAUCUCACGACACGAGCUGACGACGGCCAUGCAACACCUGUCACUGAGUUCCGGCUCUCAAUACACAAAACUAGUUUAUGUACUCAGAGCCGGCACUCACUCCUUUCGGAGUAAUUCUCAGGAUGUCAAAUCUUGGUAAGGUUCUUGGCUUAGCAUCCAAUUAAACAACACGCUCCACCGCUUGUGCGGGUCCCCGUCAAUUCCUUUGAGUUUCGGUCUUGCGACCGUACUCCCCAGGCGGAGUGUUUCACGCGUUAGCUUCGCUACGGAGGGGGUCGAUACCCCCCACAGCUAGCAUCCAUCGUUUACGGCGUGGACUAC
rnacentral:misc_RNA from 1 species